AAUUCAUAUUACAAAUAUAAUCAUGGCUUUGAAUUAACCUCUAGCCAACAUAAAUUUAAUUUCACAUUAUUAAAAACAGAAAUAAAAAAGAAGUUUGGAAAAAUUAAACCGAAAGAGGAUCUGCUGCUUUCUGCCCGUUUCUCCUUCCCUGCUCUCUGUCCGUUCUUGUUGACCUGCCCGUACUCUAUUCUUUUCUUUUCCCGUUCUACUUUCCCACGCUGCAAGGCAGCCUUCAGUCCCCCCACGUCUCCUCUGUCUCCCUCUUCUGUUAUUUUCCAUUUUCUGUCUGUCUUCACGCUGCCCAAAAGGGCAGCUCCCUCCCUCUCUCACGCUGCUGUCUCUCCUCUCUCUUCUAUUUUUUUAUUUCCCUUUUUUUUUUCUGGCAGCAAGGCUGCCUUCUCUUUUCCACCCUCCGCAAGUCCUCACUUCCCUCUUCUUUAUUUUCUGUCUUUCUUUUUCUUUCCGCGUGUCCUGCUCUUCUUUCUUUUAUUAUUUUCUUUCCGUUUCUGCUGGUUUCUCUUUCUCUCCCGCCAGCAGCCAAGUGCUGCUUUUCCUAUUAUUUUAUGCGCCCCCAGCUGCCAAAGCAGCAUCUGCCUUCCACCUCCUCACGUUUCCACCUUGGAUUCCUUCCUUUCCAGCUGCAAAGCAGCUUCCUGUUGUUUUCAGAAGUGAAGAAUAUGGGAGUCAACGAGGUAAAAAAAAUAUAAAUCAUGAUGCUCUCUUGCUCCCUCUUUGACCGACUCUCCCCAUUUCUUUUGUUUAUGCCGUGACAUAAUUCUACCAAUAAUCCAUGACAGAAUGAGAACGACUAAAGCAAUUUCGACGAAUUUAUUAUUUAAAACUCAUUUGUGCUAUUUUUAUUUUCUUUGCAUAACAAAUCCUAUAAACACAAAAAUAACGUAAAUAGCUCAAAAAUGUAAGGAACUAACUAAGAAAAGACGAGUGAAUUCGAAGUAAAAAUAUAUAUAAAUAUGAUCCGAUCAAAUACCCCCACACUUAACUUUUGCUAGUCCUCGAGCAAAACCAAGAAAACUAGAAAAAGUACUAACAUGAAAAACAUUAGUUUCCCCCUAUGUGACCCUCAUAGAAUUUCAUUCAAGAAAACAAAUCAUCAAGAACCAUAGCUAGCAUCAAGGAACUAAUCCAAGUUCAUCUUCCUUAUUCAAAUAUUAGCAGUAAUCUUUGAAUCAUCCUUGAAGUGUAGUGUGUGAGAUAGCCAUACUAAUGCAAUUUCAAGUUUUUAUUUUUAAAAUCAUCAUAUGCAAACUAGUAACCUUCUCACGGGAUAUACACUCAAUCACAUAUGUGUUUAGUUUUAGUGUGUUUCGCUCAAAGAAACAAAUGUGAAAUUUCUACCAUAAGCUUGCAUAAAGAUCACUUCUCCACAGUCAUAAUUGCAAAACUUAAAUCAAGAGGACUUUUAUUGGAUGUAAUGAGGCUUAGGGAUAGGGUUAUUGAAACGAAAGAAUAGGAAAACACAAGUUCCAAGCUACAUUUCAAGCAAUUCUUUUCUUUAGAUUUAUAAGAACUCAAGCUCUCCAGCAAUUCUUCUAGCACCUCCAACCAUACUCUUAAACUGAACUUUAAAAACUUUUUAUUUUCUUUUUAUACAAUCUUUCUUUUUUUUUUUUUUUUUUUUUUUAAAUCACAAACAUGAAAUACCCCCACACUUAUUCUUUUGCCAAACAUCUUCACAGUACUUCACAAACGUUUCUCAUAAGACAAUUUCGCAUUGCUCACUUGGAAAGGGUAAGGAAAAAUGUUUCAGGCAUAAGGGUAGACAUAUCUGGUGAUAAGAAAUAAAAGGCUCAACAUACACGGCUCAAAUUGGCAAUCUAAUGAUAUCAUUUUUCUUUGGGAAACAUAGUUAUUUGGGCCAUAGUGGUAAACCUAAUGCCUCUAUCAUUUCCAAGUUCAUGCAAUCAAUGACAAACAUUUCGAAAGAUCGUUACGCAAGUUCUAGAGAUGUAUCUCACAUAAGUUCAUCACACAUGAAAGAAUAGGAGUGUAUGAAAAAUGCACACACUUUCAAUAGGCUCAAAAACUCACAUAGGAUGUAUAUGGUCACUAAAUUCACAUAUGAAGCUUUAAGUCAUACUUUAGUUUCACAUUAACAAGGCUAUGUGCAUUUGGUUUUUCAAAGAUGGUCAAACAUGUACAAAACUAACAAGAGAAUUAGGAAUUUCACCAAACACAUGUUAACUAAGUUCUUGAUGAUCAUGGUUCAAAUUUUUGAUCCAAUUAUAUCAUUGGGUCGGGAAACUAACAAAAAUCUGAUUCAGAACAAUAAGGGAAACAAGACAAUAUUUUUGGAUUUUUAAAUUUUUCGAUUUUUAUUUUUUUUUUUUUUUAUUUUUUUAUUUUUUUUUAAGAAAACAAAAACUAACAACACAGAAACAAAUGAAAUUCUAGAGAUUUCUACCCCCACACUUAAACUUGACAUUGUCCCCAAUGUCAGAAAACACUAUAACGCAAAUAAAAAUAAAAUAAAUAAAUAAAUAAUAAGAAACAAAAUAAAACAAUGGGACUGAAAACUUCCCUAAUUUGCAGUAAAAUCAAGCGAUGACCCCCAAGCUAAAAUUCUGCAAUCAACUUCAAGGGUGGAAAUAACCAAAAGUUCCUGCAAAGAAAAGAAAUAAUUCAGUUAAGUACGCAAGAAAAUUAAUUAAAAAAAAAUUGCAAACGAAAAAUUGAAAAUUACGAUAAAAGAUAAUGAAUAAAACUAAUAAGUAAUCAUUGGUCGUGCUUGUUGACUUUCCACAGCUUUCCUCUUGAACAGGGUGACACUUAGCUUUUUACUAUUUGAUGAUAUUGUACGGCGGAGCUUUGCUCUUUGGGAAUGUUGCAGUUCCUUAUUUGUUCUCCAAGCAAAUGUGGCAGCUUCUCUAGUUCCUCAGUUCGGACUCCUUCCGCUGGGAUGAUUGUGCAAGCUGCAUUCUUCUCUGCUUGUUUCUUCUGCACAACGGGCAGGCACGAGGGAAAGGUGUUGGUCCUUAUUUCUUUCUUCAAUCUUUCCAAGUGCCCACCUCUUGCUUUCUUUCUCCUUGUCCCUAGCUGAAUUGUCUCCACAUGCUUCGAGGUAUCAUUUUCACUUCCCUUACUGUCCCCCAGGCAGAUGUGGUAGACGAAGAGAAAGCAUAAAAUGAUGAAGAUGAGUACUCGAGAGCAAGGCUAGGUAAGCAAUCAGGAAAGGGUUCCAGGCAGUUGGCUCCAGAUUGGAAGAUUGAUACCAAAUGCUGGCUGAUUGCUCUCUUUCUCCUUGUCGGAAAACAAAGACAAGGAGAAGGACAUGGAGAAAGCAUGAUAUGAGAUACUCUUGCUUUCAACCUUUAUGAUAUGAAAUACUUUUGCUUUGAAUGGGUUGUUCGCAGGAGUAUCCCAAGGAAUGAGGAACACAGAGUGACUCGAGAGAAUUCUUUGGGAAUGCAUUUUCGGAGAUGAAGAGGUGUUGAGAGGGUGUGCUGAGAGAGUGUGCUUUUGCUGUGGAAGGCGAAGGUAGAAAACUUAUAGGACUUGUCUUCACAACCGGAACUGUUCUCUCACUCACUUAGUGUCGGCAGCCGGUGGAUGGGUGAAGAAUACAAAUUACGCGCUUUCUGACAAAGCUGCCCGUAAUUUCCGCAAAGCUGCCAGUUGCAUGUGACAAGUGCUGACUAGGCUGAGAGAGACAGAUGGUUGGAAUCGGCACUUCGACACAGACUGCCCGUGAUUUUCGCAGAGCUGAGUUUGCGUGUGACGGGUGACAACACGUCUGGACGAAUUGAUCUUGCGAAAUCCGGGGUUCGGCUCGUGGUUUCUGAGCAAGCCCAACUUUUAAGAAAUGAAACGCCUCUUUUGAGAAAAGAAUCCGGCUUUUGAGAACGGAAACUCCUCUUUUGAGAAAAGAAUCCGGCUUUUGAGAAAGGAGCCCCGACUCUUCGAUUUGCGAGAGGACGCUUCUCUGAGGAGCGCCUCUUUGAUUUCUUCUUUUUAUAGAGGCGUUAAUUUUGUUUCCACAACACACUUGAGUACCCUCCUGUAAACACUCCCUUCUUGCACUUGUUUAAUCUUGAUCAUUCCGACUCUCUUCUUUCUUUACCACCUCUGAAAAAUGUCUGGCCCUUCUGAUCGUCGUUUUGACUUGAACAUUGGUGAAGAGGCAGCUCCGCCUUCACCAGACAACAUAUGGCGGCCAUCCUUCAUAUCCCCUACCGGUCCCCUUACCGUGGGGGAUUCGGUGAUAAAAAAUGAUAUGACAGCUGCGGUGGUGGCCCGAAACCUUGUCACUCCCAGAGAUAACAGACUGCUCGCAAGGCGGUCUGAUGAAUUGGCGGUCAAGGAGUCUCUGGCUCUUAGUGUGCAGUGUGCGGGUUCCGUAUCCAACAUGGCCCAACGCCUAUAUGCCCGAACCCGUCACGUUGAAUCCUUGGUGGCUGAAAUACAGAGUCUCAAGCAAGAGAUUAAAGGGCUCAAGCAUGAGAAUAAGGAAUUGCACAAGCUCGCACACAGCUAUGCCACCAGCAUGAAGAGGAAGAUUGACCAGAUGCAGGACACCGAUGGUCAAAUUUUACUUGAUCAUCGGAGGUUUGUGGGUUUGUUCCAACAACAUCUGCCUUCGUCUUCUGGAGCGGCACCGCGUAGUGAAGCUCCAACUGAUCAACCUCUGCCGCCUCCUCCUUCCGUGGCCCCGCCGACUGCUGAAGCCCCGCCUACUACUGAAGCACCACCCGACCAAUGAAUACUAUUAGUUUACAUCAUUGUAAAAUAUUUGUACUUUUUUUUUUAUUUUUUUUUAUUUUUAUUUUUAUUUUUAUUUUUAUUUUUAUUUUUAUAUAUAUAUUUUUAUAUGUAAAUUAAAGUAGAAAGACUUUGGUUAACCUUUCCCCACACUUAAACUAAAUAACACAAACUCACAGAAAUCAAACAAAUAACACAACUAACAAAACAAGACAAAAUGAAAGCAUUAAAGAUAAGGGUGUAAAAAUGCAAAUCUGAUUGGGUUAGCGAUUCCAAAGUCUCCCUUCGUUGAAUGCUUGGGUUGCCUCCCAAGAAGCGCUUGAUUUAACGUCUUUAGCCGGACGCAUCUUUCCUUUAAAUUUCCCUCGGCUCCAUUUGAACCUAAAAUCAAAGAAAGAAAAAUAAAUCAAAUAUCAAAAGUAAAAUACACAAACACCAAUAUAAACAUAACAAAAACAAAAAUAAAAGGAUUAGCAAAGUUACUAAUCCCCGGCAACGGCGCCAAAAUUUGAUGCGUAAAAUAAGUUAACACACAAAUUAAACCCUCUUUUUUGACAAUUGUAGUAUAGAUGUAAGUAGGGUAUCGUUCUAGGCCGGGGAUUAGGAGGGAUUGCUAAUCUAUUCUAAAUUAAUUUAAAAAUAUUAAAUAAGACUCAAGGACAUAAAAUUAGGCUAAAAACUCUAAUAACUCGAAACACACUUAAAAUGACUCAAAAUAAUGAAAACAAUUAAAUUAAACACUAGGAACUGAAAUGGACGGAAAUUAAAUUAAAAGACUAACAAUAAAGAAAACUAACUAAAUAAUAUAAUUUAAUAAUGGAUGGGUGUUUGGUUUUGAUGAAAAGUAAAUUAAACUUAAUUAAAUUACAGAAUUGAUAAAAACAUAAAAUUAAGGUAAAAUGAUAAAUGACGGACUAGCUAGAGGGUUUCUUCUCCACACAUGACACAUAUGCAACCUAAAUUGAUUUUCAGUUGUUCUUUCAAUAAAUUGUGAAUCUCAAAAACUCCAGAUUAACCGUGAAACAGCACUUUUUUAAUCUUCAAGUUUUCCUUAAGUUAUUGAAUUGGACGGGAAAACGCAUACAACAAUUCAAAACAUUCUUCAAAAGUCCCCUACGUGAAAAGCACAAUAGAGAUACAAUCAAUCAAAGAUCAUUAAACUUUGUGAAAGCUAUAAGCAUUGACGAGGCAUUCGUAACUAUGAAAAGCAUGAUACUCUUGCCAAGAAUUUACUUAACGUGAUUGUGACUAGCAACCUUUACUACUUGUGAAAAUAAGUUCAUAACGAUUAGGUGAAAUUCACUUAUAUUCUAGCAUCAAAUUCAUGCAUGUAAAUUAAGCGUGCACUCUCAACCAACAUACACAAAUCAGUUUUUAUACGAACGGAUAAGUAAAUUGAAUUCACAACUUAUGAAAUCACAACUGAAGGUAAUCAAUUCAUAUUACAAAUAUAAUCAUGGCUUUGAAUUAACCUCUAGCCAACAUAAAUUUAAUUUCACAUUAUUAAAAAACAGAAAUAAAAAAAGAAGUUUGGAAAAAUUAAACCGAAAGAGGAUCUGCUGCUUUCUGCCCGUUUCUCCUUCCCUGCUCUCUGUCCGUUCUUGUUGACCUGCCCGUACUCUAUUCUUUUCUUUUCCCGUUCUACUUUCCCACGCUGCAAGGCAGCCUUCAGUCCCCCCACGUCUCCUCUGUCUCCCUCUUCUGUUAUUUUCCAUUUUCUGUCUGUCUUCACGCUGCCCAAAAGGGCAGCUCCCUCCCUCUCUCACGCUGCUGUCUCUCCUCUCUCUUCUAUUUUUUUAUUUCCCUUUUUUUUUUCUGGCAGCAAGGCUGCCUUCUCUUUUCCACCCUCCGCAAGUCCUCACUUCCCUCUUCUUUAUUUUCUGUCUUUCUUUUUCUUUCCGCGUGUCCUGCUCUUCUUUCUUUUAUUAUUUCUUUCCGUUUCUGCUGGU
rnacentral:lncRNA from 1 species